AGGAAGAGGAAGAGCGAGGGUGUAGCAGGGAAAGUAUUGGUCUGUGCUGCGUGUGGAAAGUGACUUUAGUGGCGGCGUGAAGGCGAGGGCACGAGUGAGGUGCUGGCAGGCUGACUGAGGGUGAGCACUGCCCUGAGUGACAAUGAUGGAAGAAGAUUCAGUGGCUGGUAAUGAUGAUGUCCUCUGCCGCUCUCUUACCUCAUAAAACUAUUACAUUUCUUGGAACGUCAUUGUACGACAGAGUAGCCAGCUAAACAGCCGAGCCCUCAGCGUGCGCCUCCCGCCGGACAAGGGGCCUACAUCCAACACUACCUCAUUGAGAUCCACAACGAAGGCUCCUCCUACUCACUCCAAGCUUCUGAAAACCGCUUCGACACCCUUCCUUCGCUCAUCACCUAUUAUUCUCAGUGCUGCGAAGAGUUGCUGGCUCAGCUCAAGCUUCCUCGCACCAUCCAGGAGGCCAAGACCCGCCAUGAACUCGGCUCUCUCUCGCUGCUCGGACAAACCUCGGCCGCGGACAGCCCCGUGAUGGUCAGCCCUCCAAGUGUGCUCGUCUUAGCAAGGCCUUCCUCUCCCAGACGACCAAAACGCAGAGGGAGGUGUUCCACGCGCCCUUCUGCACCACCUGGUUCUGUACGGCCUGGACGGGGCUCUUCUGCCCGUCCUGCCUCGCCUGCCACUCCUGCUUCCGGAGGGAUAAGGACUCACUCAAGGUCUUCCUCAAAACCAUCGCACAGAACUUCAGGGACCGCGGCGUCACUUUCAAUAAGUUAAGAGAGAGAGAGAGAGAGAGAGAGAGAGAUAUCAUUUCUGGCUGCGCGUUGUAAUCCCACGCUCACGGCGGCACAACAGCAAGGAGAGGCGUCCCGAGCCCCGCCUAAGGACAAUGUCUCUCUGGGGGAUUUCUAGGGAUGAACCGCUCGAGCUGGCUGCCGCCUUGUUGUCCUGGGCACUGCUGAGACUAAGGCCAGGGAGGGAGGGAGAGAGGGAGGAAGAAAAGGGACUUAGCUUGGAGGAAGAGCUUGUCUCUGUUUUAUCUCUUCGUACGGAUGAUUGUUUCAAUAGGGGAACCGAAUUUUAUUUAUUUAUUUGUUGCGAGAGAUCAAAACGCGAUACAUACAGUUACAUGUAUGUAUGUGUUUGUGUGUGUGUGUGUGUGUGUGUGUGUUUGCGAGGCAGCAUCACAACACACACAGAGGGCUAGUAGUGGCGCUACAUCCCUGAGAGAGUGUCACGGGGACUAAGGCGGUUAUGAGAUGAAAGGUGGGCGAGAACUUCACUCUCCAGAAUAGAUUCCAGCGCCUGAUGUGAGAGAAUCAGGAAGGCGUGACUUCACCUUCAGACAUCGCAGCGAUCGUGCCUCAGCCAUGCAAGUGAAGCAAGAGUCGAGGAUAAAGUUGCCUUGAUUUGGCUUGGCAGGUUGUCAAUGCGGCACAACUUGUUAUUAUUCUAGCGACACAUUAUGAAAUUCCAUCCAAGUCAGCUGCCGUUGAAGGAUAAAUGACAAGAAAGAAUAUUUUCCUAGCAAUAAAAAAAAUUAAUGUAUUAAAUCAGAAAGAUAGAAGGACACGAUAGAAAAUUUGUAAUAUAUUAAUGGUGAAGUAUUGCGAAAAGACUCAAAUAAAAUAGCUUUCUUAACAGAUGCUAACACUGCAAAGAGAGAGAGAGAGAGAGAGAGAGAGAGAGAGAGAGAGAGAGAGAGAGAGAGAGAGAGAGAGAGAGAGAGAGCUGAGAAACUUUGAAAAAUAAUUGGGAUUGUUUUACUAGCUUUGGGACACAACCCACCAGAAUAAUGAAAACUGACAUGAAAAAAAAAAUAUAUAUAUAUAUAUUGUUGUUCGAGGACUGAAAGAUGGACAAGGGUGAUUCUUGGUAAGGAUUAUUGUUGGUAAAAUGAAUAUUUUCAGUGGGGAGAGGAAUCAGUACUAGUUUUCUAUCUUGAACGUGCGAGGAUCAUAUUGUAGUGUUAUAUGUUGUUAUCGUCUGUUAGGCACAGACAGGAAGGCCUCACGCGUGGAAUCAAUAAUAGUUCAGAGGAAAGGAGGAACAGCAACAUUAAGAAGGAUGAGGCUACGUCGAUGAGGCUACGUCAGAGAAACACACGAAAAAAAAGCUCCUGGCUGGGUAACUAGAAUGAUUGGGUUUUAGAAGGUCAUGGAUGUUGCCUGCAGGAUGAAGGAUCUCGGCUCAGGCUCGAGGAACAGAAUAAGACAAAGGCAAAGUUGACUGGACAAAACUACGGUGCCAAAAAUACGUGUAAAUAAGCAAGACAAGAGAGAAGUGCGGAGUGUACUGAUGCAGGACUGAUGAACAUUAGACACUGUGUUCUUGAUUAGCAAUGGAAGGUCGGGUCAAUAGUGUGAAAAACUAGGAUGGAAAAUAUUAGUACAAGUGUGGCUAGAGAACACAGUGUUCCAGGAAGUAAAAAUAUCGAAAAAUAUGAAAGAACCAUUGUAUAAUGAAACUUUGUUGUGGAAGAUCGGGAGUAAAGCUGAUGAAAACUGCGUCAUCAUCAUCAUCAUCAUCAUCAUCAUCAUCAUCAUCAUCAUCAUCAUAAAAUAAGGAAAGCUUCUGAAAAUAUUACUGAAAGAAUGCAACGUGUCGAGAGAGAUGGAAAUCAUGGGAGACGCGCACAGUAUUUCUAGUGACUGUAAUUUCUGCUUCUCAUUCUCGAUAUUUUUGUGUCCCCAGUUCUACGUUUUUGUGACACGAACAUGAAGGAGUGUGCGAACGAUAAAGUUUCACAAAGCAAAGAACGCUUUCGGCAGAAAGAAAUUAAAGGCAGAAGAUAGCGAGGGGAUGCGGGGCCACUUACCUCGGUGCAAUGGUUGGCGCUGAUGUAAUGCGUGGUGUGGUGACUGCCUCCUACAGAUUUUACCUGGCUUACGUUCCAGGUGUGUGUGUGAGUGUGUGUGUGUGUGUGUGUGUGUGUGUGUGUGUGUGUGUGUGUGUGUGUGUAAACGUUAAUUCAAAUCGAUGCAUUUCCUCACGUUGCUUACACUCUAGAAUUUGACAUGUUAAAAAAGACGUGUCCUUUCAUCCCUCGAGGAGUGACGCCCGCUUGCCUCCCUCUCCAGAACGUCAGGUAAAGAAAACGAGAGUCUGUUCCCCCGCCUCCCCUGAGGCACCUGUUGCAGCCCCGCAGGAUUACAGACUUGCAGACUGGAAAGUUCUGCAUUAAUUUUACCGAAUCUCGUAAUCUCUUGGUAAAUGGGAAACGGCGAGCAACAAGCGGCCUUUCCUGGUUAUUCAUCACGAUUCGAGAUCAUGAUCUUAAAUGUAACUUGUUUAUCAAUGCACCUUAUAUUUACAUGUGACAGAGUAGUCAGGCGUGGAGGGAAGGGCGCCUGAAGUGUGUGGACAGUGUGAAGACCAGUGCCAAGAAAUGCCGGGGUUUUGGAAGACGGAAAAAAUCGGUGAUGGUUAACUGUUGACGGUCAAAGAUUAAUGGGAAACUUUUUGGUGGUGCAAGUCAGAUGAGAAAUCUUUAAAGGUGGAAAAAAAUAUGGGAUAUUUCCGUGAUGGAAGAAAGAUAAGGAGUUUGUCGAGGCUGGUGACUGGCGGCUGGUCAGUGUUGGUGUCUUCACUCCAUGGAGAGAGUUCUGAAAGUUGAUAAAAUAAAGACACGUAUAAAAAAGUAUAGAAGAAUGAAAGCAGCGUUAGUUAAAGAGUGGAAGGUUUUCAUCACAUCACUGGUUCACUUCAGGCUGAAACACAAGCAAGGGCAAACAGUCACAUCGAAAACAAGCCACCAGCCAGGGACGCUCAGUGCAAACUCGAUAACAGCCAAUACCUGCCGUGAAAUUACCUCGUGCCGCCGCCGCCCUUCACGCCACCACGCCUCAGGACGCACCAUUAUAAUGUAAAAAAAGAAAAAAAAAUGCAAAUAUGAAUCCAAAGGGCUUUCAGAUAUACAAGUGUACGGACAGUGUUCUGUGUUGACGGAGAAAGACGUGGAGAGUGACGGUGGGGAGAAUAUAGGUGUAGGAUUUUUUUUUUUUUUUAAGCAACACUAGUUGCCUACGUAUUGUAUUGUAUCUGCACAUGUUGUCGUUGCUGUUAAUGCUGCUGCUGCUGCUGCUGCUGAUGAUGAUAGUGAUAAUGAUAAUGUAAUGUACUAAGGCUUCA